GAUGAACGCUGGCGGCGUGCCUAAUACAUGCAAGUCGAGCGGACAGAUAAGGAGCUUGCUCCUUUGACGUUAGCGGCGGACGGGUGAGUAACACGUGGGUAACCUACCUAUAAGACUGGGAUAACUUCGGGAAACCGGAGCUAAUACCGGAUAACAUUUGGAACCGCAUGGUUCUAAAGUGAAAGAUGGUUUUGCUAUCACUUAUAGAUGGACCCGCGCCGUAUUAGCUAGUUGGUAAGGUAACGGCUUACCAAGGCGACGAUACGUAGCCGACCUGAGAGGGUGAUCGGCCACACUGGAACUGAGACACGGUCCAGACUCCUACGGGAGGCAGCAGUAGGGAAUCUUCCGCAAUGGGCGAAAGCCUGACGGAGCAACGCCGCGUGAGUGAUGAAGGGUUUCGGCUCGUAAAACUCUGUUAUUAGGGAAGAACAAACGUGUAAGUAACUGUGCACGUCUUGACGGUGCCUAAUCAGAAAGCCACGGCUAACUACGUG
rnacentral:rRNA from 1 species